rnacentral:rRNA from 1 species
UGGGCGGGACGGGUGGAAGUAAUGUCUAGGGAACUCGCCGAGUGGGGGGGGAUAACUAGAGGAACGGACUAAUACCGCAUAACGUCGCAAGACCAAAGAGGGGGACCUUAGGGCCUCUUGCCAUCGGAUGUGCCCAGAUGGGAUUAGCUAGUAGGUGGGGUAACGGCUCACCUAGGCGACGAUCCCUAGCUGGUCUGAGAGGAUGACCAGCCACACUGGAACUGAGACACGGUCCAG